GAUGAACGCUGGCGGCGUGCCUAAUACAUGCAAGUCGAGCGAACAGACGAGGAGCUUGCUCCUCUGACGUUAGCGGCGGACGGGUGAGUAACACGUGGAUAACCUACCUAUAAGACUGGGAUAACUUCGGGAAACCGGAGCUAAUACCGGAUAACAUGUUGAACCGCAUGGUUCAACAGUGAAAGACGGUUUUGCCGUCACUUAUAGAUGGAUCCGCGCCGCAUUAGCUAGUUGGUAAGGUAACGGCUUACCAAGGCAACGAUGCGUAGCCGACCUGAGAGGGUGAUCGGCCACACUGGAACUGAGACACGGUCCAGACUCCUACGGGAGGCAGCAGUAGGGAAUCUUCCGCAAUGGGCGAAAGCCUGACGGAGCAACGCCGCGUGAGUGAAGAAGGUCUUCGGAUCGUAAAACUCUGUUAUUAGGGAAGAACAAAUGUGUAAGUAACUAUGCACGUCUUGACGGUACCUAAUCAGAAAGCCACGGCUAACUACGUG
rnacentral:rRNA from 1 species